rnacentral:rRNA from 1 species
UCCCAGACUCCUACGGGAGGCAGCAGUGGGGAAUAUUGCACAAUGGGGGGAACCCUGAUGCAGCGACGCCGCGUGGGUGAAGGAGCACCUCGGUGCGUAAAGCCCUAUCGGCAGGGAAGAAACAGACGGUACCUGACUAAGAAGCCCCGGCUAACUACGUGCCAGCAGCCGCGGUAAUACGUAGGGGGCAAGCGUUAUCCGGAUUCACUGGGUGUAAAGGGGGCGUAGACGGCGACGCAAGUCAGAUGUGAAAGCCCGGGGCUCAACCCCGGGACUGCAUUUGAAACUGUCAGGCUGGAGUGCAGGAGAGGUAAGUGGAAUUCCUAGUGUAGCGGUGAAAUGCGUAGAUAUCAGGAGGAACACCGGUGGCGAAGGCGGCCUGCUGGACUGCGACUGACGUUGAGGCCCGAAAGCGUGGGGAGCAAACAGGAUUAGAUACCCCAGUA